rnacentral:rRNA from 1 species
GAUGAACGCUGGCGGCGUGCCUAAUACAUGCAAGUCGAGCGAACAGACGAGGAGCUUGCUCCUCUGACGUUAGCGGCGGACGGGUGAGUAACACGUGGAUAACCUACCUAUAAGACUGGGAUAACUUCGGGAAACCGGAGCUAAUACCGGAUAAUAUAUUGAACCGCAUGGUUCAAUAGUGAAAGACGGUUUUGCUGUCACUUUUAGCUGAAUCCGCGCCGCAUUAGCUAGUUGGUAAGGUAACGGCUUACCAAGGCAACGAUGCGUAGCCGACCUGAGAGGAUGAUCGGCCACACUGGAACUGAGACACGGUCCAGACUCCUACGGGAGGCAGCAGUAGGGAAUCUUCCGCAAUGGGCGAAAGCCUGACGGAGCAACGCCGCGUGAGUGAUGAAGGUCUUCGGAUCGUAAAACUCUGUUAUUAGGGAAGAACAAAUGUGUAAGUAACUAUGCACGUCUUGACGGUACCUAAUCAGAAAGCCACGGCUAACUACGUG